GACAGAGGGUGCAAACGUUGUUCGGAAUUACUGGGCGUAAAGCGCGUGUAGGCGGCAGGGCAAGUCGGAUGUGAAAUCCCGUGGCUCAACCACGGAAGUGCACCCGAAACUGCCCAGCUAGAGUCUCGGAGAGGAAGGUGGAAUGCUUGGUGUAGAGGUGAAAUUCGUAGAUAUCAAGCGGAAACACCGGUGGCGAAGGCGGCCUUCUGGGACGAUGA
rnacentral:rRNA from 1 species